AUCGCUUCUCAGCCUUUUGGCUAAGAUCAAGUGUAGUAUAACAAAGGAAUACAAAAAACUCUUAAAGGUUUUUGAAAAUCAAU
ensembl:snRNA U2 U2 spliceosomal RNA